rnacentral:rRNA from 1 species
UGGGAGGCUUAGAAGUGUGGACGCCAGUCUGCAUGGAGCCGACCUUGAAAUACCACCCUUUAAUGUUUGAUGUUCUAACGUUGACCCGUAAUCCGGGUUGCGGACAGUGUCUGGUGGGUAGUUUGACUGGGGCGGUCUCCUCCUAAAGAGUAACGGAGGAGCACGAAGGUUGGCUAAUCCUGGUCGGACAUCAGGAGGUUAGUGCAAUGGCAUAAGCCAGCUUGACUGCGAGCGUGACGGCGCGAGCAGGUGCGAAAGCAGGUCAUAGUGAUCCGGUGGUUCUGAAUGGAAGGGCCAUCGCUCAACGGAUAAAAGGUACUCCGGGGAUAACAGGCUGAUACCGCCCAAGAGUUCAUAUCGACGGCGGUGUUUGGCACCUCGAUGUCGGCUCAUCACAUCCUGGGGCUGAAGUAGGUCCCAAGGGUAUGGCUGUUCGCCAUUUAAAGUGGUACGCGAGCUGGGUUUAGAACGUCGUGAGACAGUUCGGUCCCUAUCUGCCGUGGGCGCUGGAGAACUGAGGGGGGCUGCUCCUAGUACGAGAGGACCGGAGUGGACGCAUCACUGGUGUUCGGGUUGUCAUGCCAAUGGCACUGCCCGGUAGCUAAAUGCGGAAGAGAUAAGUGCUGAAAGCAUCUAAGCACGAAACUUGCCCCGAGAUGAGUUCUCCCUGACUCCUUGAGAGUCCUGAAGGAACGUUGAAGACGACGACGUUGAUAGGCCGGGUGUGUAAGCGCAGCGAUGCGUUGAGCUAACCGGUACUAAUGAACCGUGAGGCUUAACCUU